AACAAACCUCCAGUGUACUCAUCCAUUCCACGGAGCCAACCCGACACAAGGUGUACCUGCUGGUUCUCAGCGUCACCACCCUCAGUUUGCUGCUGGCACCGGUGCUGUGGAGAGUUACCACACACAAAUGGGUUUCCCGGGCAGAACGCAAAACCGUUACAUGACCAGACCGGCGUCAAGGCCCAAAGGUUCCCGUCUAACUCCCACAAAAAGAGUCGGAACGGUUGGACCAAAUCUUCUUUUUCUUCUUCUUUGCAACAUCGCUGAACCCCUCCACUCUUCGUAAAAGCUGGACAUUAUCUGUGACUUUAAAGAAUCCUUGAUAAAAAAGCACACCCGCUCGACAGUCCAGUGGAGAAGCAAAAGUACUUGAUAUCUUUCCGGCUCUGUUGUGUUUAAUGCACUUAUGAAGAUAAACAGAUACGUUCCCUCUCUACUGUCUGUAAUAAUGAAUUUCAAUGGAAUUCCUUUUCUUUUUUUCCGAUUCUCAGUGGUUUCUGUACUUUCAACCCAAGGUUUUUCUGAUUACUUGUAACAAUCACAAAUCUAAAUUCAUUCUCAUUUUUCAUGUAAGGGUAAAAUAUUUAGAUUUUAUUUUUAUUUUUUUAUUUAUUAGGGAAAAUGAUUCUGUAAUUUAUAUUGCCUCAUUUGACCAUCUCACAUUACUAUUACUGACUUUUGGGAUAUCGCUUGUCUGGCUUACCCAAUGACGUACAGUGCAUCGCCGGAUGUCAGGCCCCUUCCGCUAUGUCCGCUAUGAUUAUACAAGGGCACUGUUGCUGCAUCCGGGGCUUAGGGCCGCCUAAGACGAUUGUGAUUGGUUUAAAGAAAUACAAACAACCUAGAGGUGUAGCCAGACCAUACUCAAGCACUGACACAGAGCUGUGGUGAUAGGUCUGGCUAUUCGAGGCUAGGCUAUUGCGAAUGUCCGAUUCAAAUCCUUACUGAAGUGCAAACCUUCUAUCUGCUGUAUUUAAUAGAUGACACUCAUAGAUUAUUGUAAUCAUUGUACUACUGUGAAUUAAGCUGUGAGGACACUCUUCAGUGUUACCUAAAAACUACAACAAUUCCUUUUACAAAGUCUGUAUUCAUACACGUUAGUAAAAGGUAAGCAAUGGAGAUGAAAAAAAAUAGUAGAGAGCAUCUCACAAGAACAGAAAAUGCUCGUCAGAAAAGGAAAACCUGCACUAGUUACCGUGGAAUGUCAAAUGUAUGUGCCUGCUCAACACUGCUCCGCAUUAAAAGCGAGGACCUUGGUGGCUUCUCCUGCUGUUAAUGUCUUCAUCUUUCAUAAUGUGCAAUGUGUAAGUGUACUGUCACGUACAUGUUAUGCUUUAUUUUAUGUUUCACAUUUUUCUGCAGUAUGUCCACACACAGUGGUAUUUUUUCUUAACUUUGUGUAGUUUACAUACUUGUGUUGGUGGCCAUGGCGCAAAGAGAUGCUGUUUUUGUCAAAUGUUCAAAUUUUUAAAUUGUUGAAUUCAUUCAUUUAUUUAUUAAAAAUAAGAUGACUCAGAUAUAUUUGCUUGAUUUAGUCUGUAUUUACUAUGUUCUUAGAAUGCAGUGCUUUCUCUGGAGAACAUGAAAUUGUAUUGUCUAAUAAAUUGACCAAUUGUUUAUGAGUAAAACGCAA